UUUUGACAUCUUGAAGAUUGCAUUUCCAGACACUGACUUCCGAGAGGCCAGAAGUGCACUUUCUUUUACUAGCCCCAGUUCCGCUCCAUCCCCAAGACAGGCAGCUAUAGGCCAAAGCAAGAGACACAGGUUAAUAAAUGAGGUAGAACCGGACAAUAGUGCUACCCACAAGCCAAUUCAACGAGGAUCAAUUCCUGCUGGUGAUGACACGAGGGUCAAAGUCCACUUGCCGAAGGAAACAAGGCAUGGGAGUGGUGGAAGUGGUAGUAGCCGGGAACAAUAUCAGCAGAAUGAUUCUCCACUGCAUCCAGGGGAGUUGGUUAUCCACAAGAAGAAGAGGAAAGACAGAGACAAGUCCGUGGUGAAGUCGAGGACUGGAUCAACUGGUCCAGUUUCUCCCCCUAGCAUGGGU
rnacentral:misc_RNA from 1 species